UACGUAGGGUGCAAGCGUUGUCCGGAAUUAUUGGGCGUAAAGAGCUCGUAGGCGGUCUGUCACGUCUGCUGUGAAAACUCGGGGCUUAACCCCGGGCCUGCAGUGGGUACGGGCAGACUAGAGUGCGGUAGGGGAGUCUGGAAUUCCUGGUGUAGCGGUGAAAUGCGCAGAUAUCAGGAGGAACACCGAUGGCGAAGGCAGCUCACUGGGACGGUACUGACGCUGAGACGCGAAAGCGUGGGUAGCAAACAGG
rnacentral:rRNA from 1 species